rnacentral:rRNA from 1 species
CGAACGGGUGAGUAAUACAUCGGAACGUGCCCAGUAGUGGGGGAUAACCCGGCGAAAGCCGGACUAAUACCGCAUACGACCUACGGGUGAAAGCAGGGGAUCGCAAGACCUUGCGCUAUCGGAGCGGCCGAUGUCAGAUUAGCUAGUUGGUGGGGUAAAAGCCUACCAAGGCGACGAUCUGUAGCUGGUCUGAGAGGACGACCAGCCACACUGGGACUGAGACACGGCCCAG